UCGGGCGUGGUGUACGGAAUACACGAGCGACAUCUGGAGAUGAUUUUGAACACUCGUAGCUCGCAGACCGGGGUUCAACUCCCCGCGCCCGAA